rnacentral:rRNA from 1 species
GACGAACGCUGGCGGCGUGCUUAACACAUGCAAGUCGAACGGAAAGGCCCUUUCGGGGGUACUCGAGUGGCGAACGGGUGAGUAACACGUGGGUGAUCUGCCCUGCAUUUUGGGAUAAGCCUGGGAAACUGGGUCUAAUACCGGAUAGGACUCCAGGAUGCAUGUCUUGGGGUGGAAAGCUUUUUGCGGUGUGGGAUGGGCCCGCGGCCUAUCAGCUUGUUGGUGGGGUGAUGGCCUACCAAGGCGACGACGGGUAGCAGGUGUGAGAGCACGACCUGCGACAUCGGGACUGAGACACUGCCCGGACUUCUACGGAAGGCUGCAGUAACGAAUCUUCCGCAAUGGGCGAAAGCCUGACGGAGCAAUGCCGCGUGUGGGAUGAAGCGGCUACGCCGUGUAAACCACUGUCAGGGGGCAGAAACAA